UGCAUGCUUACGCGCGCGUGCGCGCGCGCGUAUUUACAAAUGCAUAAUUAUUUUAUUAUUUAUGUCUGUCAUUAUACGUUGUAUUUCCCAAGUAUUUAAAAUAACAAUAAUGGGCGUCAAACAAACUUCAGAUAAAAUUGUAAAAAAAUCAAUGAUAUUCAGACAGGAUAUACCCCAAUUGAAAUGUAAAACAAAUUAUACAUUGAUACUUGAAUAGUUGGUAUUAAAAAACAGAGCACUGCACAAAAAACACAAAAAAGGUGAAAGAUUGUAACUUUCUAGAAGACAAUAACUGAUUGAAUUCUUUCAAUGAUGAUCAGCUAUUUCUCCUGUUUGCGGUUCCUUGUUUAUAUUUUCCCAUCAGAUUAUAAUGAUUG